CGGCAGCUUGCCCAGAUCCCACGGGCAGGGAGCAGGAGCCGGGAUUGGGCUCAUUCCUUCAGCUGGCAACCGUCCAUUUGUGGGGGCAGAGGCGGCAGGGACAUAGCCUCCUGCUUGGAGCUGGGAAGCGGGGGCGGUGAGGGGGACACAGAGGAAGACUACCCAGCUCCACCCAGGCCUGCCUGUGGGGGCACUUCCUGCGGGAUGCGGGGACUCUGAUGAGACCCAAAGGAGGAAUGAGAAAUGUGGGCAGAGCCGGAGCCGGCCAGGGAUGGGAUGAUCCCACAGGUGUGAGAGCAGGGGAGUGCCCUGUCCGCACCUCUGCUUUCUGGUGUCCCCACCAUACCUUUCUGUUACGUCCCUUCUCUCCUUCUGAGAGGCUGUCCCAUCCCAGCUGCACACCAUUCUCAUUGAAGUGAAAAGGCUGCCUCCCGACCCCAGCUGCCCAGGGCAGUCAUCCACACCCUGGCUCUGGGCCAUCCGCCCCUCUCGUGGUUCCUACGGUCCGUGUCAUGUGUGGCACCUCAAGUGCCCCCUGCCUGCCCCAGGGACAGCCGCUCACUGGGCUCAGAGCCCCCUGACACACGCACAGCAGGGGGCUUCGAGAGUCCAGGGAUGCCUCCUGGAGUCACGGCUCUGCCAAGCUCCCUAAAGUUGACUUGGUGGGGGAGCUGGCAUCCUGACUACAUGGCCGUGUUGACAGGACCAGCGAGCAGCCUCCUGGCAUCUGCUGUUAAUCCUCAUGACUGCUCUCAAACCUCUCAACUCUACUGAACACACAGACACAGUCAUGCCCACAGCUCCACAGAGAGUUCCUACCUAAACACCCGUGCGACCAGCACGUGAUGAAGACACAGAUAUCACCAAGAACGGCUUGAUGCCUCCUACAGAAGUGUCCACUGCAUGUUGGAAGUUCCUGAGCUGAACAGCGAGGUUGUUUGCCAUCUUCAUCUCCCUAGGCAAGACUGCCCUGGAAGAGCGAGUGAUGUGGAUGGAGACAGGGAAUACUGAGGUCUGCUGACAUCAGUCGAUGGCGGCCAUGUGGAUGGAUGCACACAUCGCCGACUCCGCGCCCCCUUCCUGAUUAGAGCACCCAGCAUCAGCUGGCGCAGUGACACCAAAGACUACAUUUCCUAGCCUCCCUCACCGCCAGAUGUCACAAGACUACGUUGGGCCCAGGAAAGAGGGAAGAUGGAGCAGGUGAACUGGGUGGGAAUUCCGGGAAGUCUCCACACAGGGGACGGGCCGUGCCCUGCUCUCCUUCGCUCCUUCCUCAUUCCUGGAACACAGAUGUGAAGGCUGGAGCUCAAGUUGCCAUCUGGGACCAUGAGGUAAGGCUGGGGGCUUCCCAUGGCUGUGGAGGCUGUCGUGCCAGCCCUGAGAAAAAGGAAACUCUGUGGAUUAGGUGGGUUAGGCAUGGUCGUCUGGGUUUUCUGGGGUCACAGGCAGCCUCUCCCUGGCCUCACUAGGACACACUAUGACUGUUGAAACCAUGACUCAUGAUUCACAUUGGGGGUAUGCCCUGGUCAAAGGAGCAUGCACUGGCAACAGGGAGUUUCAGAAUGAUCCAGUUCUUGGGUUGACACUUCUCAAAAGCCCCUAUCUUCCCCUGCCUCUUCUGUCUCAGGGAGGCUGUCUUCAAAAUUUCCCUAAAAACCCCUUCCCUGGCUGAGACCUGGGGCCUCUUGCCUUCUCACCAGAGCAGUUGUCCCCCCACAGAAACCUCAGGACACUUCCGCCUUUCCUCUUCCCACUUGGCCUGUCAUCCGGUCCCCACCCCCUGCUUGCAUCACCAACACCCAGGGGUGGGAGAGGCCAGGACAGAGCCCUCCUCCAAGGGAGCGAACAAGGAGUCAGAAAAGGCUGGGAAGACUUCUUCCGAGGGAUGGAAUCACCAUCUGAGCAGAGGGGCCCGGCAAGGCAUGAAUACACAGACACACCUGAUGGAGGGAGGGAUGGAAUCACCAUCUGAGCAGAGGGGCCCGGCGAGGCGUGAAUACACAGACACACCUGAUGGAGGGAGGGAUGGAAUCACCAUCUGAGCAGAGGGGCCCGGCGAGGCGUGAAUACACAGACACACCUGAUGGAGGGAGGGAUGGAAUCACCAUCUGAGCAGAGGGGCCCGGCGAGGCGUGAAUACACAGACACACCUGAUGGAGGGAGGGAUGGAAUCACCAUCUGAGCAGAGGGGCCCGGCGAGGCGUGAAUACACAGACACACCUGAUGGAGGGAGGGAUGGAAUCACCAUCUGAGCAGGGGGGUCCGGCGAGGCGUGAAUACACAGACACACCUGAUGGAGGGAGGGAUGGAAUCACCAUCUGAGCAGGGGGGUCCGGCGAGGCGUGAAUACACAGACACACCUGAUGGAGGGAGGGAUGGAAUCACCAUCUGAGCAGGGGGGUCCGGCGAGGCGUGAAUACACAGACACACCUGAUGGAGGGAGGGAUGGAAUCACCAUCUGAGCAGAGGGGCCCGGCGAGGCAUGAAUACACAGACACACCUGAUGGAGGGGGGCUCCGUGCCUGGAAACUGACGCACAGGAUUUGCCCUGUAGUCAUCAGCACAGAGGCAGAGUGGGUGACUUGUCAAAUCUGGGACAAUUUGAGCAUCAUCAAGAAUAAUGACUAGGGGCC
rnacentral:lncRNA from 1 species